rnacentral:lncRNA from 1 species
GUUUUAUUAGCUUAUGAAUUUUUGUCUCUUUCAUGCUGGCUUAUAAUAAUGAUAACCACAGGCUUUUGGACUGGGUGAUAUGAGGAGAAGAAAUUGCUCAAUUCUGGUGCAGUAAGUCCAGCUAAGUGUUUUGAAGUGGUGGAAGUCUCCAAAUGAGAUGAGUGCUAAGAAGUGAGGUGCUCAUGUUCAGCUGGGGGUGCCAAUUGUAGGUGUGCAGAAAUAAUGGCGUGACUCAAGACUGCUUUGACAGGCAAAUCCACCUGCAGUCUGGGCAUACCUAUUUAUUGCCUGGAAAAAAAAAGUUGAACCAUCUGUGGUGUAUGGGUUUGUGUUCAGCUGGGUCCCUCCAUGCAGCAAGAACCAGGAUGGAAACAUCCAGGCCAGAUCCACUAACCACAGUGUUGCUUCAGUAUCUCUCAGAUGUUGCAGCUCAGAGCCAAUGAUGUGUAGACGGAGAGUUCAGUUGACCUAUGGAACACAGAGUGUAAAGACUUUCUGAGUGCUCAGAUUCUCCAGGAAUAGUAGUAUUAUAGUAAAACUCAUUCGCUCUUUUUAAGCAUCUAAGAUUUAAUAUGAAAUGAAA